UACGUAGGGUGCAAGCGUUGUCCGGAAUUAUUGGGCGUAAAGAGCUCGUAGGUGGCCUGUCGCGUCGGCUGUGAAAACUCGGGGCUCAACUCCGAGCUUGCAGUCGAUACGGGCAGGCUAGAGUUCGGCAGGGGAGACUGGAAUUCCUGGUGUAGCGGUGAAAUGCGCAGAUAUCAGGAGGAACACCGGUGGCGAAGGCGGGUCUCUGGGCCGAUACUGACACUGAGGGAGCGAAAGCGUGGGAGCGAACAGG
rnacentral:rRNA from 1 species